UUUAUCGGAGAGUUUGAUCCUGGCUCAGGACGAACGCUGGCGGCGUGCCUAAUACAUGCAAGUCGAGCGGACAGAUGGGAGCUUGCUCCCUGAUGUUAGCGGCGGACGGGUGAGUAACACGUGGGUAACCUGCCUGUAAGACUGGGAUAACUCCGGGAAACCGGGGCUAAUACCGGAUGCUUAUUUGAACCGCAUGGUUCAAAUAUAAAAGGUGGCUUCGGCUACCACUUACAGAUGGACCCGCGGCGCAUUAGC
rnacentral:rRNA from 1 species